rnacentral:lncRNA from 1 species
AGCCCUCUCUCCGAAAGUCUCGACUACCAAACCGACCACCUGAUCGGCGGUUUCUCCCUCCACCAUAAGACCGAGCAGCAUACCGAGAGAGCCAAGCAGGUACUUCUUGAUUUGCUUCUUGCAUCAGAUCUGCUAAAGCUCUAGCUAGUGAUGAAUUGUUAUCAUUAAAGAAUGCAGUUGCAAGGCCUUUCUUUCCAGCUCGCCCUGUUCUUCCAAUCCGGUGUACAUAAUCAUCAAUAUCAUUUGGCAGGUCAAAGUUGACUACAUGAGCAACAUGGGGGAUAUCAAGACCACGUGCAGCAACAUCGGUAGCAACCAAUAUGGGGGUGUUGCCACUUUUAAAAGACCUC